UACGGAGGGGGCUAGCGUUGUUCGGAAUUACUGGGCGUAAAGCGCGCGUAGGCGGCUAUUUAAGUCAGGGGUGAAAGCCCGGAGCUCAACUCCGGAACUGCCUUUGAGACUGGAUAGCUAGAAUCUUGGAGAGGCGAGUGGAAUUCCGAGUGUAGAGGUGAAAUUCGUAGAUAUUCGGAGGAACACCAGUGGCGAAGGCGGCUCACUGGUCCAUUACUGACGCUGAGGUGCGAAAGCGUGGGGAGCAAACAGG
rnacentral:rRNA from 1 species